rnacentral:rRNA from 1 species
CAUUCGAUGAAGUGCUUACUGCAUUUUUUCUUACACAUGUGUUUUUCUUUUUUUGAAAACUUUGCUUUGGUAGGCCUUCUAUAUGGGGCCUGCCAGAGAUUAAACUCAACCAAAUUUUAUUUAAUGUCAACCGAUUAUUUAAUAGUCAAAACUUUCAACAACGGAUCUCUUGGUUCUCGCAUCGAUGAAGAACGCAGCGAAAUGCGAUAAGUAAUAUGAAUUGCAGAUAUUCGUGAAUCAUCGAAUCUUUGAACGCACAUUGCGCCCUUUGGUAUUCCAAAGGGCAUGCCUGUUUGAGCGUCAUUUCUCCCUCAAACCCUCGGGUUUGGUGUUGAGCGAUACGCUGGGUUUGCUUGAAAGAAAGGCGGAGUAUAAACUAAUGGAUAGGUUUUUUCCACUCAUUGGUACAAACUCCAAAACUUCUUCCAAAUUCGACCUCAAAUCAGGUAGGACUACCCGCUGAACUUAAGCAUAUCAAUAAGCGGAGGAA